CACGAGGGGUGCAAGCGUUGCUCGGAAUUAUUGGGCGUAAAGGGCAAGUAGGUGGUCUCAUUUGUCUGGGGUGAAAGCCUUGAGCUUAACUCAAGAAGUGCCCCAGAAACGGUGAGACUCGAGUACUGGAGAGGGUCGUGGAAUUCCCGGUGUAGCGGUGAAAUGCGUAGAGAUCGGGAGGAACACCAGCGGCGAAGGCGGCGACCUGGACAGUCACUGACACUCAACUGCGAAAGCGUGGGGAGCAAACAGG
rnacentral:rRNA from 1 species